AAUAUAGUGUAUUUGGAUUUUCAGAAAGCCUUUGAUAAGGUCUGUCACCAAAGGAAAUUAAGUAAUCAUGGGAUAAGAGAGAAGGUCCUCUCGGAUCAGUAAUUGGUUAAAAGAUAGGAAACACAGGAUAGGGAUAAAUAGGUUUCACAAUGGAGUGAGGUAAUUAGCGGGGUUCCUCAAGGAUCUGUAGCGGGACGAAUGCUAUUCAACAUGUUCAUAUGGAAAACAGAGUGAACAGUAAAGUAGGAAAGUUUGCAGAACAAAAUACUCAAAAUAGUUAAGUCCAAAGCUGACUGCCAAGAGUUACAGGGGGAUCUCACAAAACUGGACAACUAGGCAACAAAGGGCAGAUGAAUCAUAGACGUGUAGGAUUGGAAGGGACCUCAAUAGAUCAUCUAGUCCAGUCCCCUGCACUCAAGGCAGGACUAAGUAUUAUCUAGACCAUCCCUGACAGGUGGCUGUCUAACCUCUUUCUUAAAAGCUUCUCAUGACAAAGAUUCCCCAACCUUCUCAGGCACUUUAUUCAAAUUCAGUGUUAAGUGCAAAGUAAUGCACACUGUAGUUGGGAUGAUUUUUUUUUCCUCAUAUAUAAUCAUGGGUUCUAAAGUAGCUGUUACCACUCAAGAACGAUCUUGGAGUCAUUGUAGAUAGUUCACUGAAAACCUCAGCUAAAUGUGCAGCAGUGGUCAAAAAGGCUAACAAUGUUAGGAACCAUUAGGAAAGGGAUAGAAAAUAUCAUAAUGCCACUAUAUAAAAUCCAUGGUGCACCCACACUAUGAAUAUUAUGUACAGUUCUGGUUGCCCCAUUUCAAAAAGGUUGUAAGGGAACCUGGAAAAGGUUCAGCGAAGGGCAACAAAGAUGAUCAUGGGUAUGUUAUGGCUUCCAUAGGAGGACAGACUAACAAGAUUCAGGGUGUUCAGUUUAGAAAGGAGACUAUUAGCAGGGGAUAUGAUAGAGGUCUAUAAAAUCAUGAAUGGUGUGGAAGGAGUGAAUAGGAAAGUGUUAUUUACUCUUUACAACAAUAUAAAAACUGCACAUUGUUCCCCAAAUCCUCCUACCAUCCAGAGUCAAAACCUUAAACAUGUAUAGGUGCACACUGAAUCCAUAGCUACGUGCUUGCCUGGGGAUGUGGGGCAAAGCACAUGUUGGGCUGUGAGCUACACCUCUACUCUCCCAUUUUGUAGUGUGGAUAUAGCAAAAGCACCUGGGAAUGUGUUUAGAUAUGCUGUCAAUGCCAUUCCCACAAUUCCUGGUACCUGCAUGCUCUGGCCCUUCUACCUACCCACCUUGUCACCCACUAUGUACCAGAUACUACUGCUGGUUUAUACACAGUUGCUCGGCAUUUAAUCCUUCAUUUCCAUGCAACCUGCUCAUUUCUGCACAGCUCAGCUGUGCCUAAUAGGAAGAGGCACAUCAUCAGCAUUGUGCUGUUUGUUGGCUGCAGGAGCACUCCAGGGUUCUGGUUAACCUCUAGUGUGAGUACAGCAAGCAUUAUGAGUUUGGGAGGGGUAUCCAGAACAUCCACGUAUGAGAGCAUCAUGAAGAAGCUGGCAGAAAUGGGCUUAUCCGGACUGGUGUGCAGCACAGGGAGCGCAUCAAGCACUUAAAGCUGAGGAUGGCAACAGCAGGUCUGGCAACUCCCUAUCUAUAUGCCCUUUCUACAAGGAGUUUGGACCAGGUGCUUGCCACUGCCAUGAGCACAGAGCCCACUGUCCUUCUUGACAUACUUCCAAAUGCAGACCAUCUUAUGUUCAGACCAGAGCAAGGGUGUAAAAGAACUCUGGGGAUGACACUGGCCAACAUCACAAUGAACUCCCAUAAACAGACUGUGGAGCAGGAAGCCUAGGAUCAGUCCACGUGGCCGGAUGGGCUAGUGGGUGUCCUGGGUGAAUUUUCAGAGGAUCUUUUCUGAGAUGGGCCCAGGGAACAGUCUGGAGAGGAAGCAAUGCGGGACCAGGAAUCGGAUCCAUAGUCUGGCAUUUCCACAUCAGCUGCACCAACAUUACUACACUGGACUCUUAGAACCCUCAACCAGCAUGGGAGGAGGAAAAAGGUCAGAUGAGAUGUCCUGUGACCUGGGGUACAAGAGAGAAAAAUACCAAAAAGCAGAGGAGUGGGAAGAAAAUGCUCAACCAAUUCCUCAGACAUGACCAAAGGAAUAGGGCUCAAGCCCAGCUUCUGUUAGACAGACAGUUCACCAUGAUGGCCAACAGGGUGCAGCUGCCAGUAUCAGCUCCACAGCCACCUUCAUUGCCAGCUCUGCUGUUGACUCCUGUACCAUCACCAGUGCUUGCAGACUCUUCUCUGUGGUACCACAUCAUGCAGCCAAUGCAGCGACUGGCAAACUCAGACUGACCAACCAGUGAACAACUCUAUGAAUUGGAAUGAGCAGAUGUACCCUGUGUACUCCAUCCCUGUACAGUGCAGUCGCCAUGUUUGGCCAGGGAGGAGGAGAACAGGAGGCACAUUUGACAUCCAGUUCCACUAUAAGCAAGACUGACUGUGAAGCUUGGACUUCAGUUAAUUGUACUGUUUCACAAACCGUUAGCACUUUAUUUAACUUUGCACAUUUGUCAAUAAUUGUUUAUGGCCAGUGGGCUGGUAUGCUUGCAAUAGUUUUACUAUUACUUUGUUUUGUUUUCUUUGGGUUUUGUUAAUAAAUGAUUUGGUCGCACAA